rnacentral:tRNA from 1 species
AGGGAUAUAGCUCAGAGGUGCAGUGCCUGCCUGAUAAGUACAAGGUCCCGAGUUCAGUUCUCAGUACCCCCA